rnacentral:rRNA from 1 species
CCAACAGGGAUUGCCUCAGUAACGGCGAGUGAAGCGGCAACAGCUCAAAUUUGAAAUCUGGCCCCAGGCCCGAGUUGUAAUUUGCAGAGGAUGCUUCUGGCGCGGUGCCUUCCAAGUCCCCUGGAACGGGGCGCCAUAGAGGGUGAGAGCCCCGUCUGGUUGGCCGCCAAGCCUGUGUGAAGCUCCUUCGACGAGUCGAGUAGUUUGGGAAUGCUGCUCUAAAUGGGAGGUAGACCCCUUCUAAAGCUAAAUAUUGGCCAGAGACCGAUAGCGCACAAGUAGAGUGAUCGAAAGAUGAAAAGCACUUUGAAAAGAGGGUUAAACAGUACGUGAAAUUGUUGAAAGGGAAGCGCUUGUGACCAGACGUGCGUCGGGGUGUUCAGCGGGCGUUCUCGCCCGUGCACUCGCCCCGGUGCAGGCCAGCGUCGGUUCGGGUGGGGGGACAAAGGCGUCGGGAACGUAGCUCCUCCGGGAGUGUUAUAGCCCAGCGUGUCAUGCCCCCGCCUGGACCGAGGUUCGCGCUCCGCAAGGACGCUGGCGUAAUGGUCUCCAGCGGCCCGUCUUGAAACACGGACCAAGGAGUCGAGGUUUUGCGCGAGUGUUUGGGUGUCAAACCCGCACGCGUAAUGAAAGUGAACGCAGGUGGGAGCUUCGGCGCACCACCGACCGAUCCUGAUGUUCUCGGAUGGAUUUGAGUAAGAGCGUAGGGCCUCGGACCCGAAAGAUGGUGAACUAUACGUGAAUAGGGUGAAGCCAGAGGAAACUCUGGUGGAGGCUCGCAGCGGUUCUGACGUGCAAAUCGAUCGUCAAAUUUGCGUAUGGGGGCGAAAGACUAAUCGAACCAU